GACGAACGCUGGCGGCGCGCUUAACACAUGCAAGUCGAACGGAAAGGCCUGCUUUCCCUUGUGGUUUGCGGGUACUCGAGUGGCGAACGGGUGAGUAACACGUGAGUGAUCUGCCCCCAACUUGGGUAUAAGCCUGGGAAACUGGGUCUAAUUCCCGAUAGGACUGCAGGGUGGUGCCUGUGGUGGAAAACGAUUUUCUAGUGGUUGGGGAUGAGCUCGCGGCCUAUCAGCUUGUUGGUGGGGUAAUGGCCUACCAAGCCGGCGACGGGUAGCCGGCGUGGGAGGGGGGACGGCCGAAUUGGGACUGGGUUACGACCCAGACUCGUGCGGGAGGCAGGGGUGGGGAAUAUUGGACAGUGGGCGGAAGCCUGAUGCAGCGACGCAGCGUGGGAGAUGUCGGCCUUCGGGUUGUAAACUCCUUUCGACCGCGAGGAAGCCACCUGGUUGGAAGGGUGGUGACGGUAGUGGUAGAAGAAGCACCGGCUAACUACGUG
rnacentral:rRNA from 1 species